UGAGAGAACUAGACUAUUGUCUUGCGUUCCCUUGAGGAUUAAAAUCCUCAAGGGAACGCAAGACAAUAGUCUAGUUCUCUCGAACAAUACGAGAACGCUACGAAAACGGUACAGUGUAAACG